rnacentral:misc_RNA from 1 species
GAUGAAGACCGCAGCGAAAUGCGAUAAGUAAUGUGAAUUGCAGAAUUCAGUGAAUCAUCGAAUCUUUGAACGCACAUUGCGCCCGCUAGUAUUCUGGCGGGCAUGCCUGUCCGAGCGUCAUUUCAACCCUCAAGCCCCCGGGCUUGGUGUUGGGGAUCGGCGAGCCUCCGCGCCCGCCGUCCCCUAAAUCUAGUGGCGGUCUCGCUGUAGCUUCCUCUGCGUAGUAGCACACCUCGCACUGGGAAACAGCGCGGCCACGCCGUUAAACCCCCAACUUCUGAACGUUUGACCUCGGAUCAGGUAGGAAUACCCGCUGAACUUAAGCAUAUCAAUAAGCGGAGGA